CACGUAGGGUGCGAGCGUUGUCCGGAAUUAUUGGGCGUAAAGAGCUCGUAGGCGGUGUGUCGCGUCGGCCGUGAAAACCUGCAGCUUAACUGUGGGCUUGCGGUCGAUACGGGCAUCACUGGAGUUCGGCAGGGGAGACUGGAAUUCCUGGUGUAGCGGUGGAAUGCGCAGAUAUCAGGAGGAACACCGAUGGCGAAGGCAGGUCACUGGGCCGCA
rnacentral:rRNA from 1 species